UACGUAGGGACCAAGCGUUGUUCGGAUUUAUUGGGCGUAAAGAGCUCGUAGGCGGCUCGGUAAGUCGGGUGUGAAACCUCCAGGCUCAACCUGGAGACGCCACCUGAUACUGCUGUGGCUAGAGUCCGGUAGGGGAGCGUGGAAUUCCUGGUGUAGCGGUGAAAUGCGCAGAUAUCAGGAGGAACACCAGCGGCGAAGGCGGCGCUCUGGGCCGGAACUGACGCUGAGGAGCGAAAGCGUGGGUAGCAAACAGG
rnacentral:rRNA from 1 species